rnacentral:tRNA from 56 species
GCCGGUGUAGUUCAUUGGUAGAACGCGACCUUCCCAAGGUUGAGAGGCGGGUUCGAUUCCCGUCACCGGCUCCA